CAGUAGCCGCGGUAAUACGCAGGGUGCGAGCGUUAAUCGGAAUUACUGGGCGUAAAGCGUGCGCAGGCGGUUAUAUAAGACAGAUGUGAAAUCCCCGGGCUCAACCUGGGACCUGCAUUUGUGACUGUAUAGCUAGAGUACGGUAGAGGGGGAUGGAAUUCCGCGUGUAGCAGUGAAAUGCGUAGAUAUGCGGAGGAACACCGAUGGCGAAGGCAAUCCCCUGGACCUGUACUGACGCUCAUGCACGAAAGCGUGGGGAGCAAACAGGAUUAGAUACCCCCGUAGUCCCUGUCUCUUAUAC
rnacentral:rRNA from 1 species